rnacentral:rRNA from 1 species
CAGCCGCCACGGGAAUACGUAGGGUGCGAGCGUUAAUCGGAAUUACUGGGCGUAAAGCGUGCGCAGGCGGUCGUGUAAGACAGGUGUGAAAUCCCCGGGCUAAACCUGGGAACUGCGCUUGUGACUGCACAGCUAGAGUAUGGCAGAGGGGGGUGGAAUUCCGCGUGUAGCAGUGAAAUGCGUAGAUAUGCGGAGGAACACCGAUGGCGAAGGCAGCCCCCUGGGCCAACACUGACGCUCAUGCACGAAAGCGUGGGGAGCAAACAGGAUUAGAUACCCGUGAAGUCCCUGUCUCUUAUAC